rnacentral:lncRNA from 1 species
GUAGCAAAAAGUUUGGGAUCCCAUUCUUUGUGAAAUCCGUGUAUUUAUCUAUAUCGUUACUUUAAAAGAUGUUUACAUUCUUUGCUCUUCUCUUCGGCAUCCCUGUUAUAAUGAUAGAACAAUAUUCAUCAUCAUAGAAUUAGGUAGCAUCGUAAAUGAAUUAUCAGACAAACCAAUUACCUGCAACGAAAAGAAGAAUUUGCAUUGUGGUCUCUUAGCUUGGAGUGAGAAUAUAAACAUGAUGUUUAGUGAGCAAUAUUAUAGUUUUUAAUUAAAAAAAUUAUCAGCUUGAAAAUUUUUCCUUCCACCUUUCGUCAAUAAAUCCUCAACUCCUCCGUGAUCAGAUAUGAUCCCAGUUUAUACCUCAAUAUAUUUCUCUACUCGUACGCUUCAAUGUUGUUGUUGAAUUGCUGACCUUUGGUGCAUUUAUUGUGCUGUAGGUAGUGUUGUAGUAAUAUUUAUGGCUAGGAUGAAAUAUUGGUUAGCCAUAGAAUGCUUUGAUAUUUUGGGUUCCUUGGUGUCAAUGCUGAGAGUAAUUAAGAGCAAGCAUCUGUUAUGAUGCCCAAGUUGGUAGAAGGGGAGCCACAAGGUGGAAGAAGUAUCAAGUAUGUAUUAUUGAAUUAAAAGAUUUUUAAAAGCGUAAUUUGUACAUUAUCUAAAGAAAGUUGAGGUAGAAUUCAAUAUUGAGGUAGUUGAGACCUGAAUGGCAAGAACAAGUUACUAAACCAAGCAUAUUUCUAUGUAAUCUUAUUUUGAAUUCUUCAUGUGUUCAUCCUUCUUUUAAUUCUUUGAAUGUAACUACUGAUCUUCCUUGGUACCCAGGAGUUUACUAGACAUGUUUCAGUUCAAUUAUUUCCUCACUUCAUUUCAUUUAAUCAUAUAUUCAUGUUCUUUUCCUCUUCCGAAAUUAGUUACUCUUUUUAUUUGCAUAGCUGUUAUGACAUGGUUUGUUUAUUGAAGCUUCAGUUUUUACUAAAAUUGAAGCCUUUCUCCUAAUUUAUGUAUUUUUAUUUCUUGUUUAUUCUGAAUUUUGGUUACAAUUUGAUCUAGUUAGAGGCAGGGAAGCAGCUAUUAACUCCUGCUGGCAAUUUGCAUAAAUCCAUUCUUCACCUUCCUUGAGUUGCCACUUGCCGGGAUAUUACAAUUUUGUGAAGAAUAAAUCUGUAUUAACAUAGCUAUUAGUUAGCAAGCUGCAGCCGUUAAGUUGAGCACUGUGAUGGAUGCCUCGAGAAGAAAAUAUAAAAAAGACCCAACAGCUUUAGAGUGCAUGGUGCAAUCAAUGGAAACUGUGUUUUGGAGCUGAAAUCUCUAGUUCCCUAUCCCUAGGAUUUGAGAUGGUGUUGUAUUUAAGUAUGUAUUUUUGUAGAGAAAAGAAGAAAAAAAAAAGAAAAAAGAAUGCUUGUGUAAUAACCUUAUCUGUUUUGGAAAAUUAUAUCAAAGUGUCCAUCUAUUUACAUUUAUAUUUAAUUAAAUUAAUAGUUGAUUAAUUGUGUAGCAUAGUCCAUAGCUACCUCGUUCAAGUUUUGAACAAUAACAAUAACAAUCAUGCUAUAUUGCUAUGCAAUAAUUAACACCAGACUUCAAAUAUGAUAAUAUUUUGGUUAUUAUUAUUUUGUUUGGAAUUUGGACACUCUUGUCUUCUCCGACAUAUAAUACAACUCAACCUGUGUCAAUCAAGGAUAGAAAGGAGAAGAAGGAAAAAAUUUUUAAUUUGGAAUAACCAAACACAGCUUGAAUUAUAAUUACAGUGUAGCAAAAAGUUUGGGAUCCCAUUCUUUGUGAAAUCCGUGUAUCUAUCUAUAUCGUUACUUUAAAAGAUGUUUACAUUCUUUGCUCUUCUCUUCGGCAUCCCUGUUAUAAUGAUAGAACAAUAUUCAUCAUCAUAGAAUUAGGUAGCAUCGUAAAUGAAUUAUCAGACAAACCAAUUACCUGCAACGAAAAGAAGAAUUUGC